CUCCAGUGAGAACUGCAGUCCCAGGUGACACCUUGAUUUCAGUCCAGUAAGACUCUGAACAGAGAACUGAGGCACCCCACCCCAGACACCUGACUCAUAGAGCUGUGAGAGGGAGAAUACCAAUUCAUAAAUGCAGCAGAAAUUACAGAAAUACAAAAUGAUGAUUUUGCACCACCUGCACAUUGAUUCAGACAAGAAUCAUCAAUGGAAAGGAAAAUGGCAGAGUAAGUAGCUCCAACCUCUUAUCUUCCCACAGAAACAUUGAAAAUCAAGCAGAAAAAAAAAAAAAAAAAGGAAAAUCAAGCAGAAACUAUCAGAACCAGCUA